rnacentral:rRNA from 1 species
AACCUGAAACCGUUACGGGGGAAGCGAAUUGCGUCGAAUUGAUUUUAUGGGGGGUGCACUGUUCAGCGCGUUUUGAGUGUACUCAGGGCAUUUUUCCUUACCCGUCGUGGGUUUUUGGAUGGUCGAAUUUGGGCCGUCUAGGACUGAGGGAUCCUCUUUUUUUAAUAUAAGGGUGAGGACGACGGGGCGCUGACGCGAUACGACCCGUCUUGAAACACGGACCAAGGAGUUCAGCAUAUGUGCGAGUCAAAGGGUGGUGAAACCUGAGGGCGCAUUGAAAGCGAUUUAACACGGAUCGUGUAAGAACUAAAACAUAUAAUUUUCAGUUUUAAGGCGGCAUACAAUGGGUGAUUGUAGGACCGACCUCGAGCAGAUAUGCUGAGACCCGAAAGAUGGUGAACUAUGCCGGAGUAGGGCGAAGCCAGAGGAAACUCUGGUGGAGGCUCGUAGCGGUGCUGACGUGCAAAUCGCUCGUCUGACUUGGGUAUAGGGGCGAAAGACUAAUC